GACGAACGCUGGCGGCGUGCUUAACACAUGCAAGUCGAACGGAAAGGCCCUGCUUUUGUGGGGUGCUCGAGUGACGAACGGGUGAGUAACACGUGAGUAACCUGCCCCUGACUUUGGGAUAACUCCAGGAAACUGGGGCUAAUACCGGAUAGGAGCUCCUGCUGCACGGUGGGGGUUGGAAAGUUUCGGCGGUUGGGGAUGGACUCGCGGCUUAUCAGCUUGUUGGUGGGGUAGUGGCUUACCAAGGCUUUGACGGGUAGCCGGCCUGAGAGGGUGACCGGCCACAUUGGGACUGAGAUACGGCCCAGACUCCUACGGGAGGCAGCAGUGGGGAAUAUUGCGCAGUGGGCGGAAGCCUGAUGCAGCAGCGCCGCGUGCGGAAUGACGGCCUUCGGGUUGUAAACCGCUUUCGCCUGUGACGAAGCGUGAGUGACGGUAAUGGGUAAGGAAGCCCCGGCUAACUACGUG
rnacentral:rRNA from 1 species